rnacentral:rRNA from 1 species
UACGGAGGGUGCAAGCGUUAUCCGGAUUCACUGGGUUUAAAGGGUGCGUAGGUGGCGCGGUAAGUCGGGUGUGAAAUCUCGGAGCUUAACUCCGAAAUUGCAUUCGAUACUGCCGUGCUCGAGGACUGGAGAGGAGACUGGAAUUCAUGGUGUAGCAGUGAAAUGCGUAGAGAUCAUGAGGAAGACCAGUGGCGAAGGCGGGUCUCUGGACAGUUCCUGACACUGAGGCACGAAGGCCAGGGGAGCAAACGGG